UACGAAGGGGGCUAGCGUUGUUCGGAAUUACUGGGCGUAAAGCGCACGUAGGCGGACUACUAAGUCAGGGGUGAAAUCCCGGGGCUCAACCCCGGAACUGCCUUUGAUACUGAUAGUCUCGAGUCCGGAAGAGGUGAGUGGAAUUCCGAGUGUAGAGGUGAAAUUCGUAGAUAUUCGGAGGAACACCAGUGGCGAAGGCGGCU
rnacentral:rRNA from 1 species